AACCGCUAGCCACAACGCCACGUACUACUACUUAGUUUUGUCGAUCCUUGCGUCGAAGUGUCCGGCGUCUCAAUUGGUCUAAAAGCUAUAAUGCUUCACGAUAAAGCACUCCUUUUCAAAUGGAUUUGGCGUCUUGGGCAGCAGCAAGAUUCUCUUUGGGCUACCUUCCUUUCGCUUUGGGUAAUUCAAUUUCAUCUUUAUGGUCUAGAAUUCAAAAAUCUGCGCAUUCAGGUGGAUCCAAUUUCUCAGCCUUAUGGCAUGUUAGUUUUGCUAUUGGUGAGGGUAAGGGCGUUAGAAUUUGGCACGAUGUCUGGACAUCAAAUUCCCCACUGAAAUUUUCCUUUGCUAGGCUUUUCAACCUAGCUUCCAACCUGAAUGCAUUUGUUAAUGAGUUGGGAGACUGGGUGGAUGGGGUUUGGGAGUGGAAUUUCUCUUGGCGCAGGAAUCUUUGAGUGGGAACUGUAAAGGUUGGCUCGACUUCUUGUCAUUCUAAGCUCAGUGAGGUUAUGUCCAUUUAAGAAUGAUAAGUUGAUUUGGAAGCCAGAUAGCAAGGGUUUUUUUUUUUCAGUAAUGUCUUUUUGCAAGUGCCUUGUUAGUGCUAGUUGUGCUAUGCUGCCUUUUGCAUCUCAAAUUUGGUUGGGCCUUGCUCCUUCAACGGUUAAAAUUUUAAUUUGGUUAAUCUGUCAUGGGAGGCUUUGCUCAAGAGACCGUUUAUGCUCACUUGAUCUUCCUGGUUGACGUGGUCAUGGUUCUUGAAAUGGUGGGGUUUGGAUUUUUGCAUUCCUAAUUUGAUUCUUGAUCUUCUUACUAAAUGGAGAGCUUUAGUUUCUGGUAUUUUUUUAGGUGAAAUUUUGGCUAACUCUUGGGCAUGCCAUUCUUUUGUCUCUUUGGAUUGCAAGGAAUGAAAAGGUGUUUGAAAAUAAGAAUUCUAAAGAUCCCCUUGUUGUUUAAUUCUUUCCGAGUUGCUGUAUGGUUAAGGGCUUUGGAUGCCAGUUCUCCAUAUACUGGCCUUGAUUUGCUUCUCUCUCUGAAUGCUAUUAAGUGUUGGUUUAAUGCUUAUAAAUCUUAGCCAAGCAUCUCCUGGUCUUCUUCUAAUUCUAAUUAGAUAAAGUGGAAUGUUGAUGGUUCUUCUCUUGGGAAACCUAGUCCUUGCUCAACAGGAGGGGUUCUUCGUGAUGACUCUGGGAAUUUUUGUGGAUUUUUUCCUGUUUUGCAGGGUGUGAUGAUUCCAAUGUUGAGGAGUUUAUGGCCAUUGAUAAAGCACUAAGUCUAUUAUUGUUGAAUCCUGCAGUUUUGUCCUCUUCUUGUGGAGUGGUUGUCGAUUCUGAUUCAAAAAAUGCAUUGGCUUAGUCAAAUUCUUUGGAUUCAGUUCCUUAGUGUCUACACUCAAUUUCUAAUUCAAUUGUCAACAAUUUGAGAUCUCUCCCUGCUUAUGAUAUUCGACACAUCCCAAGGGAAGCUAACUGGGUGGCGGACUCUUUAGCCAAGCAAAGCUUGAGUCGAUCUGAGGACUUCAUAGCCUAGUUAUAGUAGUGCUGGUUUUAUGGUUUUUUUCUUCAGUAAUGAGCCUUCUAAUUGGUGUUACUUUGCUGCUUUGUUGGGUGUUCAGGUUUUCUGGUUUGAAUUCAUGAUUUUGUCUGUCAGUUUGUGUUGAGGUUUUCUUGCUUGCUAUUCAUGUGUCCUCGAUGCUGGACCUAUAGCUUUGGCUUUGGAUUUGUGUCCCUCGGGUUUGGCUCAAUUUGUGUUCUUUCUCUGUUCUGUUUGUAUCUGAAUUUUGUUUCUUUCUAUUUG